GAAAAUAAAAAAUUAACAUUAAACGUUGAUAAUUCUAGUGGUUCUCCUACCCCAUUCUCUAUCUUGAAAGUCUAGGGGAAAAACAGCCAUCUUCCUGUAGAGUUUCAAUAGUUUUCAGAUCAUAAUGUUAAUAUUUAACAGAAACUGCCCCAUCUCUUAAUUUAUCUUCAGAGAAAGUCCAUCAGUGAGUUAGGCCUUAGGUCACAAAGUGAAGUUUCUUUUUCAACUUGAUUUCAUAGUUGUCAAAAGAAAGCAACUAAUUUUGACCAAAUCAGGGAGGUGACUGAAUUAUCUGGUUUUAAAUUUGAUUUAUGGUUCUGUCUGCUCUACUGAAACAAAAUGGUGGUUGCAUUUUCAAAUGGGAUUACCCUCUCUUAAAUUUUAACAGCUUUUAGGGCAAUUUGGUACAUAUGUGAUACAUAUUCAGAUGCUAUAACAGGCAUGUAAUUGAGUGAAGUCUCUUAUUUCUAGGAAUGCUAGUUAACCUUAAAUUGUUGUCUUUCAUCCUACAGAACAAUCCAAGGUUGUACUCCCCGAAGCCUAGUCAGGCUCUAAUCAAUGCAUUCAAACUGAUUUUAAUAGUAGCCUCAGUAAAGCAAUAGAAGAUAAAACAACUGGGGGGAAAUAUCUUUAAAGUUAUAAAUAAUAACACUUCUAUUAUACUUUUUGGACUGUCCAUGCCAGUGUUAACAUCUUAGGGCAGACAAUUGGAGAAUCUGACCCACAUUCAUACUAUAUUUCAUAAGAUCUAUAAAUAGCAUUCUCUCUUAAAUGCCUGGGAAGUGAAGUUAUCAGUUCUUGUAAAUGAACAACUCAAAUGGGACUUUCAAAUUUGGCAUAUUGACUUUUGAAGCAAAACAAGCUUAUUAUUUGAAUUUCCCAAAGUAUAGUUAAAAGCUCUAGAGUCACAAUUCCAGCUUUGCUUCUGCCCAGCUCAGUGACCUCAGUAUUUGAUGGGUCUGAAUGAAAAUCUGAUGAAACAGAUGUUACUUGAAGCUGAGUGACUUUCUCAGGGUCAAGCAAAUAAGUAAAUGGAGGAGCCAGAAUUAUACCCCAGGAUCCCCAUCACAAGGAGGGGAGGGCUACCAUCCCAGCUGCAAACUCUCAUUCAAGGUUUAUGCUGCAGCCAGCAGUGUCCUUGGAGUCUAGUUCAAAGCUGAAGAGAGUGAACCAUGGAACUGGGAGCCAUUGGCGGAGAGGCUGGCCUGAAGGAAGGGAAGUGUUUCAGCCAGAAUGUACUGACGCACAACCAGGAAACCACAAGACUGGUGAGAACCUUUCCAAAACUGAGCUUUAUGAUCAAAAGAGGUACAGGAAACAGCUCUGCCAAGAGUCCUUUCUGCUCCUGGCUGGAACCCUGAGCUUCUGAGGCUCUCUGAGUCAACUCUCUGAACAGAUGCUGUCACCCAAGGAACCAUCACUAAAGCAUUUUUUUGCUUUGCUCUGAGGUGGCCUCACUGGUGGGUGCAAGUGAGUUACUGUCUCUUUUUCUCUUUCUUGUUUCUUUCUUUUGACAGAAGUUGCCAUGUGAUUACUCAAUUCUGAAUUUUAGAGGCCAUAGGUUACUGCAUUUAUGCCCUUUGCCAACUGACUAUUGUUUGGUGCUGGGCCUGCAUACAAACACGACAUCCCCAAACUCUUAUCAAUACCUAGAUCACCUGAUGUGAAUCUAUCAAUACCCUGGACUUAACAGGGUAUUGAAGGAAAGAGAACCGGCAAUUCCUUCAUUUCUUACAUCCCAGCCAGUAGUCCUUCUCCCAGGCUAGUCUUCCUUUUGUUUCCCCUAAGAAUGACUCAACUAGGAAUUGCAUUCUGAUCCCUGUCACAGAUAUAAAUCUUGUCUGGAUACAAGGUCAAAAUAAUUGUGUUCCUGUGGAUUCUUUUUCUUUUUUCAACCAGAGUAACUACCAGUUGCCAUGAAAUAAAUCACAUCAUCAUAUGGCAGAUCCAGCUAAUAGCUGAGACUGGCAGGAUAACUGAACCGUGUACUCAGAGCUAAAUGAUGGAGAAAUUGGACUGGCCAUGGAGCACUUCAAAUUGAUUGCUUAGUAAUGGGAUAUUUUUCCUGGAAAGACAACAGAAUACUUCUGAAUUGUUGGUUCUGUCAUGGGUACAGGCUCCCAUGUACAGGAAAAUAAAGAAAGUGUGAUGAAUUUUUCAUCUGGCCUUCUGCCUACUUUCUUGCUUUCUGCAUGUCUCCAUUUUUAGUCUGUAAGCCCUGCCUAGAUGACCAAUCACUAUUGCCCAUGUGGCAUAAAACCUACAAUUUAACUAUACUUCUUACCAAACUCUCAGCAAGUAUGAGGUAGCCAACAGCCUUUUCAAGAUAAUGACUGAGUCUUAGCUUAGGUUUCAGUCAUUUUAGGAAACAUAAAAAAUUCAAUGGUGGGAGAUCAUACACACUCUGCAAAGAUGUCAGAAGUCAAGUUUUGGGAGAGUCCACACACAAACUGAGCAGUGAUGGUAAAAUAUAUUUUUGAAAUAUUUCUCCUCUGUGACUGUUAUGUGAAGUAGAGCAAACACAUUGUGCUGCAGUGCUCUUUGGGACAUGCCUUUUUUGGGAAGUGCUAACUUUAUACUCUGCUGACACCAAACAUUUGAAUAUAAAACCUUAUUUUUUUCUCUCACUCUGCUCCACUUUUGGCUCAGCUUAUUCUACCAAAACACACUUCAAAAGACUUCUUUAUAGAAAGAAUGUUUCAAAAAUAUAAUAUUUCCAUCUGUUAUUUCAAUAAUACAUGCUCUGGGACUCUCUUUAUGAACCACUUUCCUUUCUUUGCUCCCAUUUAGAUGUAUAAAUAUUUGAUUGUAAAGCUCUAAGGAAUAGUCAGCCAAUCGGGUCACUGAAUUGUGAACAUUCCUAACCCUAUAAUUUUGUCUGUAGCAGGCACCUCCUGCUGUGGAACUAACUGCUAAGGGAUUAUAGCAAUGUAAUCCUCAGACUGUUCCAUCUCAAGGUUACUCUGAAGUGGAGGGAAGGAAGCCGUUUUAAUUUUGAUAAAAUAAACUUUAUUUUGUAACUUUAUUAUUUGUUUUUCUUUUUCCUUUCAACACUUCAUAAUAGAUGUGUCUGGUAAUUUGAAGUUAGCCUCUCUGGUUGAGGUGCCCUAAACCACCUCGUAUUAUUGUA
rnacentral:lncRNA from 10 species